GCAAGCCGAGGGGUAUAUAAGAGCUUGCUCUUAUAGAGACCGGCGCACGGGUGCGUAACGCGUAUGCAACAUGCCUUAUACAGGAGAAUAGCCCAGAGAAAUUUGGAUUAAUGCUCCAUAUGAUUGUAGUACCGCAUGGUACAGCAAUGAAAGUUUUAACGGUAUAAGAUUGGCAUGCGUCCAAUUAGCUAGAUGGGGAGGUAACGGCUCACCAUGGCGAUGAUUGGUAGGGGGCCUGAGAGGGUGAAC
rnacentral:rRNA from 1 species